AAACCCCACUGAAGAAGAAAAAGCUACUCAUGUAAUGCAUGCUGGAAAGCAGACAAAAACUAAUGAUUUGCAAGAGAUCUAAACACGAUUUAUAAGCUACUGAACAACAAGUCCAAGAAAUCAUUGCUAACCGCGUUUGCACUUUGAACAGAUUUGUCGACAAUAAUAAUGGAAGAUGUGACUGGGGCUCAGCUCAUUGCAGAGGCACUAAAAGCUCAGAAUGUAGAAUAUAUGUUUGGAAUAGUUGGUGUUCCAGUCAUUGAAGUAGCUAUGGCAGCUCAAGCCUCAGGAAUCAAGUAUGUGGGAAUGCGCAAUGAACCACCUUUUUAUUACUAAACCAGCUCUCCCCAAAUCAUGUGAUAUUAACUACCCGUACAUAGACUACAGGAGCGUGUAGUGUGUGAGGGUCAGUUUCAUAGCUUUUUUGCAUUGCUAAUUAUGUCUGCCUGUCUGUCUGACCCUUUGUGUGUCUGUCUGCCUGUCUUCCUGUCUGUCCCUCUGUCUGUCUGUUCCUCUCCAGUCCAGGUGCGUGUCUAGUUGUGUCUGGACCGGGACUCAUCCAUGCACUUGGUGGAAUGGCCAACGCUAACAUGAACUGCUGGCCUGUGAUUGUUAUUGGAGGCUCCUCCGAUCAAAACCAAGAGACCACUGGGGCGUUUCAAGAGUUUCCACAGGUGGAGGCAUGCAGAUUGUACAGUAAGUUCUCUGCUAGGUCUAGCAGUCUGGAUAUGAUCUCCUCAGUGGUAGAGAAGCUUAGCAAGGUACCUUAACUGCUUCAUAAGAGCACAGCACAGCCUUAAUUGAUCUGAAUGGAAGGGUGUUUGGUCUGUCUAAGGCAGCACGCACUAGCAUGUAUGGACGUCCAGGUGCUGUAUACGUAGACAUAUCUGGGGACAUGGUCAAUGCUAAAUUGGACAGGAGCAGAGCCAGAGAGGUGCCCUGUAGUCCACCUCCUCCUGUGAGUAUGGCUGACCAUAUGGCGAUCACAGAAGCACUGGCGGUCCUGAAAGGAGCCAAACGGCCUUUACUCAUCAUUGGCAAAGGUGCAGCCCAUUGAAGAGCAGAGGGUGCUCUGAAGGAGCUGGUGGAGGGGUGUGACCUGCCCUUCCUGCCCACCCCCAUGGGUAAAGGGGUGCUGCCUGACGAUCACCCCAACUGUGUUGCUGCUGCCCGCUCCAGAGCUCUGCUCCAGUCUGAUGUUGUGGUCCUACUUGGUGCCAGACUCAACUGGAUCCUGCACUUUGGCCUUCCCCCAGGUUUGACACCCAAGUAAAGGUCAUCCAGCUAGGUCAAAGGUCACCAGUAGGGUUUCUUUUUUUUCCUUCUUUUUUUCGGAUUCCAGAUUUUCUGCUUAUUCCGUUCUGAUUUCUGGAAUCUUCCAACAGGGAUUUCUGGGAAUUUUGGGAAAGUAACUGUAAUUUUGCAACCCUAGUCACAGGUCAUUUCAUAGUGAACUACAUUUCAUUGUAAACAGGUAUAA